rnacentral:rRNA from 1 species
AGUGAAUAGAUACCCCGGUAGUCCACGCUGUAAACGAUGGGUACUAGAUUUGGUGGGUCUUGACCCCCGCCGAAAUCGGCGCUAAACGCACUAAGUACCCCGCCUGGGAAGUACGGUCGCAAGACUAAAACUCAAAGGAAUUGACGGGGGCCCGCACAAGCGGUGGAUCAUGUGGUUUAAUUCGAAGCAACGCGAAGAACCUUACCUGGAUUUGACAUCCUCUGACAACCCUAGAGAUAGGGCUUUCGUAGCAAUACGACAGAGAGACAGGUGCUGCAUGGCUGUCGUCAGCUCGUGUGGUGACAUGUUGGGUUAAGUCCCGCAACGAGCGCAACCCUUGUCCUUAGUUGCCAGCAUUAAGUUGGGCUCUCUAAGGAGACUGCCGUGGUUAACACGGAGGAAGGUGGGGAUGACGUCAAGUCCUCAUGGCCUUUAUAUCCAGGGCGACACACGUGAUACAAUGGAUGGUACAGAGGGAAGCGAAAGCGCGAGCUGGAGCCAAUCUCAAAAAGCCAUUCUCAGUUCGG